rnacentral:misc_RNA from 1 species
AAAGUCGUAACAAGGUAACCGUAGGUGAACCUGCGGUUGGAUCAUUAAAGGUUCCUUCGCUCGUUCGUUCUUGGAGAUCCUAGUUGGUGGACAACUGUCCCUGAUCCGGGAUGAGAUCCACCAACAGUUGGUUCUCCCACCUGUAGUGUUUUUUUUUUUUUUUGUCUUUGCCUCCUGAAAAAAGCAAAGAAACAACUUUUGGCAACGGAUCUCUUGGCUCUC